AUACUUUUGUCUCCAGGUCUACUUGACUGUGGUAAACCCUCUAAUAUUUCAGUGGGCCUAUGGUAUUCUGGUUGCUACGCUUGUUGUCAAAACUAGUAUGGCUUUUAG